rnacentral:rRNA from 1 species
GACGAAGGAUGCAAGCGUUAUCCGGAUUCAUUGGGUUUAAAGGGAGCGUAGGUGGACUUGUAUGUCAGUGGUGAAAUCUCUCGGCUUAACCGAGAAACUGCCAUUGAUACUGCAAGUCUUGAGUACAGAUGAUGUAGGCGGAAUAUGACAUGUAGUGGUGAAAUACUUAGAUAUGUCAUAGAACACCGAUUGCGAAGGCAGCUCACAAAACUGUAACUGACACUGAGGCUCGAAAGUGCGGGGAUCAAACAGG